rnacentral:rRNA from 1 species
GUGGCGCACGGGUGNAGUAAGGACGUGGGUAAUGUUUCCUCGGGCGGGGNUUAACCUUCCGCCCGGAGGGCUAGAUACCGCAUAAGACCACGGCCUCGAAAGAGGCUGAGGUCAAAGCAGGCCUCUUCANGAAAGCUUGCACCUGAGGACCAGCCCGCGGCCCAUCAGCUUGUUGGCAGGGUAACGGCCUACCAAGGCUAAGACGGGUAGCUGGUCUGAGAGGAUGAUCAGCCACACUGGAACUGAGACACGGUCCAGACUCCUACGGGAGGUAGCAGUGGGGAAUCUUGCGC